ACCGUCCAAAUAUAUAGGAGCGGGUCAGGGUCGUUGGGUAUUUUAAAAUAUACAGGUGGGUUUUAUUUAAUACAAAUAAUACCCGUAGCGGGUUAAGAAAAUGCCACAUGCCGAAGUUAAAAGUCAAAAAAUUGACCAGGUUAGUUCGGUUAGAUAUAGGGGUAAGUUUGAGCCCAAAAACAAAUGUUAGGGGCAUUUGUGGACCAAAAGGUUAACGGAGGGUACUUUUGAGCCAUUUUCACUACGUUAGGGGUAUUGUUGGCCCUUUUCCGUAUUGUUUUUGGUAAGUUUUUGCUUGUUCUGUGAUGAUUGACCACUUUCCAUUGAAGAUAAAGUUUUCUAAUUGCCGGGGUUGGCCUUUAUUAUACUGAAGUUUAUUGCACUUUUGUUUUACUAAUUUGCUUAAUGAGUUACUUUGAAUUACCAUUUGCCUGCAUUUUGUCAAUUUAUGUUGGCUCUAAGAUUUCCAAUAUGCAAGUUAACUCCUCUAACUCAGUAUUUUAGAUAUUUGGUUAUCUAUAUUACUGAAUUAAUGUUAUUAGGCCUUUGAGAAACUCUUAGAGGAAAAAGAGUUGGAAUUCCACAAGUGGGAGGGGGAUGCAGAAGAGUUGUUGCGAGGUGUGCGUGAAAAAUUCAACAUGCUGGCAAAGCAUUGGUCUAGAGAUACCAAGAAUAAGUGUCUGAGAGAAGUAACCAAGGCAUUCCGGUUUAUGGGUCAGAUUGUUCGGCUAAUCAUCCUGUAAAAACCGUUCCAAUCCAAAGAUCAAACUUGGUUUCUCAAUGGCAGCUGGCUCACAAGUGUCAUGGUCGCGAACAACUUGUGCAUAUUUUGCAUCAAAAUGGAAAGAUUCAGACUGAGAGGAUUGUCAUUGGUCACCGUUCAAGCUGCAGAUGGAGGCAGGUGGCUUUACUCUUUUCUUUCCCUGGUCUUCUGAUUUUAACUUGCAGAGUCCUUGGGAGCAUUCUAAACUUGAAGGGGAGAGGUGCUUCCCUAAAAUCUCCUUAUUUUCCAUUAGAAGAGGUCCCUAAGGGAGCCUGGUGGAAUGACUUUUAUGGUAUGUGUAUUCAAAAAGGUGCAACCCCCAUGCGCAGAAUCCAGCCACGAAACCAUUAACAGAAGAGAGCCAGUGUGGUUUGUGUGUUCGAGGAGCUGGAAAUCAAGUUCUAGGACAUAACCAUUUUAGAGGCAUUUAUUUAGCAAAUGUAACAUUUGGGAUUUGAUGUGGAGGAAAGACUAAUGAUAAUUGUGUUAUUCUUUUUUGCACGUGUAA